GUGUUGUUUAUAGUGUGUUUGUACCAGACAGCAAACAGGUGGAGUAAAAGUAGAAUUCAGUGAAUGAAUCCAAGCAUCAUGUAAAUGAAUCUCAGCUACAACAUUGACCCUGAGCUCCACAGGACUGAUGUGUGAAGCUCAUUUCUCACCACAGUGUGUAACGUUAGAAAGAGUCUUGGUUUUGGACCUUGUAGUAAAAUGUGAGCUGCUGAAAACUGCUGCCAGUUUCUAAGAAAGAUGUUUGUGAUGCUACGACUCUUCUUUAUAUCACAUGUGUGGCAGCACUGCUAACAGCUGUUCUACCUGCAAAAACCUGCACUGGUUUAUUUAUCUUUCUGUGUUUCAUGUGCAGCGAGCGAUCAGCUGCAGUCUGCUCAGCAGUGAGAAAAGAAGACGUCAGAUGAUGGACGGAUCAUCGUCAAAGAGAAGAAAAACAAAGACGAGAGACGUACAAAGAUGAUCCACCAGUGCUGCCCAGUUUGAGGACAUUUCCAGUCACAUUAAUGGGGGACAGGAGACGCAGCUUCCAUCAAAGCUGAGUUUCUACCAGAGCCAAAUGUCAUCGAGUCCUCACUGAAGUCGUCCACCAGUCCAACCACUGGGAUCCAGCUGCUGCUCUCUAACUGGUCCACACAGCAGCUCAGACCUGACACAUUCACUGUAAACACACUGGUUUAUAUUCUGUUUGUUCUCCUCAUGAAGGAAACCUCACACAACCACUGAGGCCAGAAAGUUCAAGUGGAGAGUUUUUAUUAUUUUUUUCUUUUAUUAAGAAGCUCGAGAAAACAGGCCUUUCAGAAUAAAAGCAUGACCAAGACAACAUUUAUACAUCAACAAUAAUAAAUGUUAUGUAACUAAAAAGUAGAUGUAAUCCAAGUUUCAUGUCUUCAGUAACUUUGCUGUUAUUUAUGUUAUUUCUAAGUGUGCUGUCGUCUCCACAGCAGUGAUCUGGUUUCUCUGCAGGUUCAAUAAACUUUGGUCUCACUUGA